rnacentral:lncRNA from 1 species
AUGCCCUCCCCGGCCCCCUCCGCCGCCCGGCAGCCCCGGGGCAGAGCGGCCGGGCCCGGCUCCGCGCCACCGCCAGGCCCGCCGAAGCCCGGCCGGGGGCGAGCGGGGAGCCCCCGCGGGGAAACGCCGCUCACGGGCGGCCCGAGGGGGCCGCAGCCCCGCCGGGAGCCCCCCUCCAGCCCCGCUCACCUCCCCCCGCCCGCCCGCCCGCAGGGGCAGCGCCGCCGCUCCGGCUCCUCAGCCUCGGCCCCGCAGCGCCGGGCGGGCGGGGAGGCGGCGCCACCCCGCCGCUGCUGCCCGCCCCCUGCGGCCGCUCCCGGGCACCGCCGGCCUCAGCCGGGGACGGCGGCGGGGUGGUGGGGAACGGCUCGGCCCGGCCCGGUUGUGGGGAGGGCGAGGGGCGACGAGGAGAUGGGCUGCUGUGAGGACUGGUCCCAUACUCCAGUAAUCACUGGAAAGGUGAACCCACUGACAAACUAUUCAGAAAUGAACUGGUCCUUUCCACGAGCCAUUACCAGUUACAAUUCUCAUUUGGGUGAUCCUAGUAAUAGCUGGCACCAUCAGUCCACGUCCUAGUCAGCUCACGCAGGGAAACUGGCAGUGAUGUUUCUGCUGCUGGGUGAAAAUAUUAACUACUGCAUAACAUAUUUAAAAAUAGAUGCUAAUAAGUGAAUUAUUAAUUUAAAACUUUCAGACAGGCCUAUGUAACACAAAGAAAGUGAAGCUUCAUCAGCUUAUACUAAAAUUUUAGUAAAAGCAAACAUAUUCAGAAGUGAUUUUACAUGAAAAUCUCACCAAAUCAAUGCCAAGGUUCAAAUGCCUAUUUUUAAUGUUUUUCUUCCAGUCACACAAUUGUGCUGGCCCUAGAGUAAACAGUAAAACACAUUUACCUGACGUGUGAGCUAUCCCACUGGAAUAAUUUGUGUUAAUAAAGAUUAGCACAUGUCAGCGGCA